ensembl:misc_RNA Metazoa_SRP Metazoan signal recognition particle RNA
GCCGGGCUUGGCAGCGCGCUUCUGUGGCCCGGGCCACUCCGAAGGCUGAAGCGGGAGCAGUGCUUGAGCCCCGGAGCUCUGCGCUGUAUAUGCGCUGUGCCCAUCGCGCGGUGGCUCCGAGUUUCGCAUAUGUGUGGUGACCUCCCGGGAGCCGGGACCACCGGAUUCCCCAGGGAGGGGGAAGUGGCCCAGCUCGAAAACCGAGCAGGGCAAAACUCCCGUGCUGAUCGUUAGUGGGAACGCGCCUGUGAAUAGCCACUGCCCUCCAGCCUGGGCAACAGCCAGAGCCCGUCUCUU